rnacentral:lncRNA from 1 species
GCCAGCCACAGAAUGAUAGAUAGCGUGGGAUUCCACUCACUGAGGUCUGAAAAAUAACUCAGAGAAGAAAGGAGGCGACAGGAACUUACCAAAAAUUGAAGGUUGGGGCUGGGAAGUUGCAUAUAUAGCUUCGAAAAAAAAAAAAUGCAGUCUUUUCAAAUAGCUCACUCUAAACAAAAGAAAACUGCCCCAUGUCAUGUUGUAAAUAGGUUUGCUACUGAUGCACGAUUAUGUGUGGAUAUGUUGAUGUUUACCAGUGUUCAUGGUUUGUCGCUUUUCACAAGAGCAAGAAUGAGAGCGGCAUUCAAUGACGCAUAGCAUUAUCUCGGCUAAGUGGCAUCGCAGAGCUGGGGCCCGGCGCACCUGCCUCAAGGUCGUCCCAGAGGCUGUAGGCAAAAGCCAGAGAAGGUCUGUACCUGCAAGAUCAAAAGGCAGUGAACUCAAAACUCUCCAGGCCCAAAACAUCCCUGUGGAUGAGUCCCGCCAGGUCGUCCUGCGUAGGAGGAAGUAAUCAAUUAUAUCACCUCAAGGAUGUUUGCUUCUGUCAAAACCACUCUGCAACUGAUCUUUAUCAGUGGGUUUCUAAAUCCAGCGACUUUGUUUACAUGUUUUAUUCCCUGACUUAGAAGAUUUUGCCAUAAUAGGAUAUAUCAUUAAGUAACGGUAUGAAAUGAAGUUCAACAGCUCUGAAAUAAAAUUUAAAACCUACUAGCGUGACAUCAAAAAGACAAGAAAUUAAUGAAACUCUAAUUUUCACUCCCAGCUUCUUUGAUUUCUUAAAAUGAAUGACUCUUGAUUUUGGACACAGUGGACCACCUGGGAGAGAUUGUACUAAAAGAAAACAACAACACAGGAAAAAACAAAAAAAACUCAGGAAAUCUACGGGGUUAUUUUCAGCACAGAAGGUAAAAAAACCUUCACACCUUUAAAAUUCUACACAAGCCUUUGAUUGAUGUACUUUCUAAGUGGCUAAAUACUGGGACCUUGGAGGUAUUUAUUAAGAUGUCUAAUUUUAUAUAAAUAGCUUUUCUAAUAGAUGAAAAGAUUUUUAAUAGAAGAACAUAUCUUUUUAUAGAGGAAAGUUUGAUAAAUUUUCCAGUUAUGUAAAUUGAAAUUUAGUUCUUCAGGGAAAUGGUAUUUUCUUACCAGUACACUUUCAGCAGAAA